UACAGAGGUCUCGAGCGUUAGGCGGAAUCACUGGGCUUAAAGCGUGUGUAGGUGGAUCGUCAAGUACCUUGUGAAAUCCCACGGCUCAACCGUGGAACUGCUGGGUAUACUGGUUGUCUUGAGCCAGCUAGGGGCGAGCGGAACAGACGGUGGAGCGGUGAAAUGCGUAGAUAUCGUCUGGAACGCCGAAGGUGAAAACAGCUCGCUGGGGCUGCGCUGACGCUGAGACACGAAAGCCAGGGGAGCGAACGGG
rnacentral:rRNA from 1 species